AUUGGUUGAUUGAUUACUCGGAUUUUUGUUUGACAUCCCCUUUUUUGUUUUUUUUUGGUUAUCAUAUCCAUCACAUGAUUUUGGUUAAGCUUUCAAUAGCAUUUCAUUAUCGAUCAGAUUUCCGUUAUCCAGAGAUUUUCCGGUAUACAAGAAAUGAAAAGAAAUUCGUUUGAAAAAUUCUAGAAAUUUCGCAAAACAAUAACCGAAAUGUGUAAAAAACAACCAUUUUAUUGAAUAGAGUGAGCGCGCAUGCGUACUUUUGGUGGCACGUAUGCAUUUUUUUUUUGCCUGUUGUUCAUAAACAACGACAUAAUUGUUUAUCAGUAAUUCUAAUGUUUUAACUCAUUUUUUUGAUAAUUAUUAAUUAAAUUUUUUUAAUUUAAUGAAAAUUUCAUGAUUUCUUAUUGUUUGAUUAGAUUUUAAUGUUUUAUUUAUACAAAUUGUUGCGUAUUUUAAGUUUUAUGAGUUUUACGUAGUUGAUAUCGAGGUAAAAAAAAAAUACAUAAUGGGAGGAGUUUUUAAUAGAGAAAAUAAGUACGAAAAUUUCCUAUUUUUUUUGAGUAUAUAAAUAGUCGAAUUUACUCAAUUUGCGUCGCAGUUUUCUUUUGCCCUUUCCAACGAGUGGUUUCGUUGCGAGUUUUUUUUCGCUGAUCAAUUUUUUUUUUGCCAUAAAAUCCAUGAUGGCCGACUCAUUGCCAAUGGCUCCUCAUUUUUCUCCUACUUUUUUUUGGAACAAAGCCGAGGCUUAUGAUAUUAUUUCAUCAUCAUCGUUGAUGAUGAUCAUUCAUUCAUGGUGGCCUUCUUGAAAAUGUUGGAAAGUUUUUCUUGGUUUUCCAUUGGUCCUGAAUUUCUGAAUGGACACAAAUUAUCAAUUAUAAUCCAUUCUUCGUGGUGGAUGGCUGCGGUAUUCCAGAUAGUAUUCGAUUUUUGUUCCAGACAUUUAGAUGUCCAGUUAAUGAAGAUUCUAAAUGAAUCUGAAUACAAUCCAAUUUUUAGGCGAUUUUUUUGUUUAUUUAUCGUUUCGGUUUGAAUUCAUUUUUUUCACGUUGAGAGUCAGAUUCUAAGAUGAAAAUCCACGGAUUUACCUAAGAUAAGUAGCCUUUUAAAAUGUUUUUUAUGAACCGAAAACGCUUUUUUUUAUUCCCUUAAACAGCAAAAAAGAAAGAUUGUGUGAUGAUUGAGGAGUUUUGUGUGUUAUGGUCGUGGUGAUCGAAUUUUGUUUUCCAUUCAGUUCAAUGUUUGUUUGGAUUAAUGAUCCAGUUUGAUUGAUGGAUGAUCCGAUAAUAAUGAAAUCUUAUAUGAUGAUAUAUUUGGUCGUAUUGCCCGUUUUUCGAACAAAUGAGAGUGAUUAAUACGAAAUGAAGAAUAUAGAAAUCAGAAAAUAAACAUCCCGAUAAUAUUGGUCAACAAAUACGCCAUCUAGUGGUAUGUGUAUGCAUGUGUGUGCUUCAGUGUGUCUGUGUUUUGUGUCAAAUGUGUGCGCCUGGUGGUUUCACAAUUUUUGGUUCAAGAAAAUUAUCAUUUUUCAUUAUUGGUCGUUAUCGAAAUGUAUGGUUUUUCAGGCUUUUUUAUUGUGAUGAAGAAUGCUGAAUGGUUUCAAUCGUAUGUAUAUAAAUUGUGUGUGUUAACAUAUCGAAUAUAAGAAGAUUGGUUAUCGAUUUUCGUCAUUUGAAGAAUUUAAAGUUUCAUCCAAGUGUUUAGAUUUCAAGUUUUGAUUUUUUUUUUGGUAUCAAUCAAGUUACAUGAAAUUGUCAAUUGAAUCACGUCAAUGAACAAAAUAUAUUACAGCCUGUCUAUCAUUUAAUGAAGAUUUGAUUUAUUCUGUAUAUAUCUGAAUGAUAGUUUUAUGAUAAUUCAUUGUGUUCAAAUCUAUCCACAAUCUAUGUUUAUGAUAAUGAUCUAUCGUUAAUGAUGAAGAUUUUAGUCACUCAGAAAGUGUUGAUUGUUUUCAGCUAGAAUUAUACAAGAAUUUAUUCGUCUUGGUGUUUUUUUCCAUUUUUUUAAAGUCCCAAAAGUUUUGACUUUUGUUUUCUUUUCAUCAUAAUUGCGAUUUUUUGAUCUUAUUGUGAAGUCUAUAUGAAUGUUAUCGUAUCAGCUGUUGUCAUGUUAUAAACGUUCAAAUAAUCAUCAAUAUCAUUCUACACUUUUUAACCCAUUUAUCGUUGUCAUUUUGGUCUCUAUAAAAAAAAUGUCCUGAUUUGCAAAUGUUCAAGUCAUAAUUUAUUCCUUCUCAUGUGUUUGAAAGUUAUAAUGAUGCACGAAUCUCUUGCACAAGUGAAUUGAAAAAUUGAAAAUAUUCAUCUACCACUACUACUAAUAUUGACAAUUUAAAUUUUGAUCUUUACUCGUCAUUGCUUCUAAAUAUAAUUAUUUUUUUCAUAUAUCUGCUUUCAAACAACAACUACCACCUUUUCUCACUCACUUUCUUUGUGAUCGACAUUUUUUUUCAUUUUGCCUUGACCAAAUUCGUAGAAUAAAUCUAUUCUCUUUAAUCAUGGUUGAUUAUUAUUAAAGAAAAACAAUCAUAUAUAUUGAA